UUAAUAACGAAACGAUAACUUGUCAACAUUGAGAAUCAGAUACUUGGCUUAAUAAUUUUCAUUUAAAAUGUCUAAUUUGGAUAUAAAUCGGAAUACAUAACGAAACUUAAAAGGUAAUUUUUUAAAAAACGUUUCAAAGCACAAUGUGGAUUUCAAUAGAAAUACUAUUUCCACCGACAAUCAGGAUUUCCGGUAUGACCACUGUUAUUUUGACGAUUUUUCUAUCGAAUCGUCGGUAAGCGUGACCGCAUGUGACAACAGCGAUGCCAGUUGGAAAAUUGGUAGACGAGUCGUUGAACUCGACACAUUGGCCGAAUCGCUUUCAGCAUGCAGUGCUUGUCAAGUGCCAUGAAUUUACUUAACACAGUAGAAAGCAGGGAUUUCGGACUGGCAUGUGUUUUGGACAUACAGUGUAGCAAUUGUGGUGCAAUAAAUAAUGUGGCUACUGGAUGGAAACAUGGCAGAGUUUAUGACAUGAACACAAAGCUUGCAUUGGGUUAAUCAGAAACUGGGUGUUUCACCUGGGACUUUCACAUCGAAAAUGGCCCUUCUCCGUGACCUUCAGCACAAAAAAAGAAAGGCUAUAGCUGUUACUCGUGCAGCAAAACAGCGACGCAUAAGACUCAAAACUGGAAAGGCAUUCAAAGGAUAUAGUGCAAGAAGUACGAGAGGGUCCAACAUACUGUUCAAACAUAGAGGACCAAAAUAUUGAAGUUACAACUAUACCCCCACCUGCACCCAAGCCUGGUCCAGCAGGGCUAGACACUACUGGGAAGGAAUGUGUUUUCUUUGAUUUGGAAACAAGAGGGUUAGAGCAUACUUCUCACAUAAUUCAGAUAGCUGCAGUGCAUUCAACUGGUCAGUUUUCAACAUCAUGUGAUGCCAGAGAAGAAGAUGUCAUUGAAAGCGUCAGAAAUAACUGGAGUGACAGUUGUUGGCGACUCUGUGAUUGUCAAUGGACAAACAGUAACAGCUGUCCCCAUCAAAUCUGCAUUGACAAGUUUUAUAACAUUCUUACAGAAAUGUUCACCAGUUAUUUUAGUUGGGCAUAAUAUAGAGUCUUUUGAUUGUAAAGUGUUGCUCCAUGCUAUCCAUACUUGUGGAAAAAUGUCUCAGUUUCAGCAAAAUAUUUGUGGCUUUUUAGAUACUUACCAAAUAUGAAAUCAUAUUAGCGGAAAAAUUUAGUUAAAGACGUCAUUGGUGAAUUAUACAUGGCACAUGGCGCUCUACAGGAUGUUUUAGCUUUACAAAAGUCAGUGAACUCUGUUCCUCUUGACCAAAAUGUUGUAAACAAAUAUUCAUUCAGCUAUGACCGAGCAGUAUUAGCAUACAAUGUGUAACUAAAUGUUGCUUCCAACAUCAAAUCUUUGCAAACCAUGAUUGAUACAAAAGUGUGUAAGUCAAGGUGUUGCAAGGAAAGUUGCAGGAAGUGGAUUGCAACUUAAAGAUUUGAGUACUGUAUCAAAAAGAAAUGGACUGAGUGGUUUGAGGAGCCCCCUGUCAGAGGUUACACACGGACAAAUCAGAGUAACAAAAUCAGAGAAAAAAAUAUGAGCAAUAGCGAGUUAUUUGUUGCCUGACAUCUAACCAAUUGUAAUUUUCAUCUUGUAUAUAGAUUAGCUAUGAAAUCUAAUAGCUGUUACAUAAUUUUUUUUCCUUCUCGAUGACAAACAUAGUUGUGAUUCUUAUGUCAGUUGUAUUUCUCAUGUUUCACCUAAGUUGUAAGAUAUUUUUGGCAGUGCAUUAAACCACAGAUGGUGUGCGAAACAUAAUUGCCCCGCUAAUUGUAUUCUAUGUUGUUUUUUGUAGAUGCACUAAUCUGAUAAAAGUAUUUGCGUAGUCUGAAUUUUGAUUGCUGUUGCUCUCAUUAGUAGUUGUUGUGUACAUGUGUAUCCUAUAUAUGGACAACAACACAUUUUUGUUAAUGAAUUGCAAACAUGGCUUUGCUAAAUGUG